CACGUAGGGCGCAAGCGUUGUCCGGAAUUAUUGGGCGUAAAGAGCUCGUAGGCGGUCUGUUACGUCUGCUGUGAAAACCCUGGGCUUAACCCUGGGCUUGCAGUGGAUACGGGCAGACUAGAGGCAGGUAGGGGAGAAUGGAAUUCCCGGUGUAGCGGUGAAAUGCGCAGAUAUCGGGAGGAACACCGGUGGCGAGGGCGGUUCUCUGGGCCUGACCUGACGCUCAUGCACGAAAGCGUGGGGAGCAGACAGG
rnacentral:rRNA from 1 species